rnacentral:rRNA from 1 species
UACGUAGGGCGCAAGCGUUGUCCGGAAUUAUUGGGCGUAAAGAGCUCGUAGGCGGCCUGUUGCGUCCGCUGUGAAAUCCCGGGGCUUAACCCCGGGCGUGCAGUGGAUACGGGCGGGCUGGAGGCAGGCAGGGGAGAACGGAAUUCCUGGUGUAGCGGUGAAAUGCGCAGAUAUCAGGAGGAACACCGGUGGCGAAGGCGGUUCUCUGGGCCUGUUCUGACGCUGAGGUGCGAAAGCUAGGGGAGCGAACGGG